rnacentral:lncRNA from 1 species
AGAUGCAAACUAUUGUAUCUGGAGUGGAUAAGCAAUGAGAUCCUGCUGCAUAGCACAGGCAACUAUAUCUAGUCACUUGAGAUGGAAGAUGUUGGAGGAUAAUGUCAAAAAAAGAAUUUAUGUGUAUGUGUGACUGGAUCACUUUGCUGUACAGUAGAAAAUGACAGAACGCUGUAAACCAACUAUAAUGAAAAAAAAUAAAAACCAUUAAAAAAAUGUGACCUCAGAUUCACAUGUGCAUUUAGUUAGUGAGGCCAAACCAGAUUUGGUUUCACAUUUUCUUAGGUAUUUUGAAAAUGUCAUCAAAAAUUAAAAUUCUUAACUUUUCCUUUGCUGUGUAUUACUGUUUUAUUACCUGAAUUUUCUGGGAUGAGGCCAAGAACUCUUAAAAAUUUCUUUUGUGUUCUGUGAGCUUAUAUGUCCACUAGAGGGUGCAUUUUACUCUUUUUUGACAAAAGUUUGUCUAUUGUAAUUGUGUAUUCAGUUUCAUGUGUUAACAACCAUCAGUAAGCAAAUUCCUUAAACAUGGACACUAGGAGACUGUCAUAGAAAAAUCUUAGCUCAUUAACAUGAAGCAACUAUAUGAUGAUUAAAAUAGUGGCCUCGACAUUGAACUCUAGUGGAGCACCAUGGGGUAGGGAUGCUUAGGGAAGCUUCAUGGGCAGUAUUGGACCUGGUGAGGCAUUGAACAGUCAGCCAGAGUCAAAUAGGGUAGUACAGUAGUUCUCAAACUUCUUGAUCUUGGACCCUCUCUACUCUGCUAGAAAUUAAGGUCCUUAAAGACAUUUGUUUUAGGUGGAUGGGUUAUAGGUAUCAGUAUGCAAUAGACGAGCAAAUAAAACAGAUAACUUUGAAAAUAUUUAUUUACUAUUUCAUUUACAAAUAAUAGUGGUAGGAGUUCCCGUCAUGGCUCAGCAGAUGUGAGUCAGACUGGGAACCAUGAGGUUAUGGGUUCAAUCCCUGGUCUUGCUUAGUGGAUUAAGGAUCCGGCAUUGCCGUGACCUGUGGUAUAGGUUGUGGCUUGGAUCUGGUGUGGCUGUGGCGUAGGCCAGCGGCUACAACUCCGAUUAGACCCCUAGCCUCCUUAUGCUGUGAGUGCAGCCCUAAAAAGACAAAGACCAAAAAAAAAAAAAAAAGUGGUAAACAAUUACUUGUCAAUAUGAAUGACAUUUUUUUCCAAUAAAAAUAACUAUUUCAGAGUUCCUGUCAUGGUGCAGUGGAAACGAAUCUGAGUAGGAACCAUGAGGUUGCAGGGGCAAUCCCUGGCCUUGCUCAGUGGGUUAAGGAUCUGGCAUUACCAUGAGCUGUUGUGUAGGUCACAGAUGUGGCUUGGAUCCCACGUUGCUGUGGCUGUGGUGUAGGCCAGCAGCUGUAGCUCUGAUUAGACCCCUAGCCUGGGAAACUUCAUAUUCUGCAGGGUGCAGCCCUAAAAAGACCCCCCCCCAAAAAAAACCCCAAAAAAACCCAAACUAUUUUUCUGAAACAAAAGCGCUAGCAAGAAGGAUGGUAUUAUUUUAAAUGUUUGAAGCUUUCUUUACUGUCUGGCUUAAUAGCUAAGAUUCUCAUCUGCUUUUGCAUUUAAUCUCUUGGAAUAGGUUGCUUUUGUUGAAGUAUCUAAAGAUACUUAGCCUUGUGCAGGCACGAGGUUGGAGAAGAGAGGAAAGUUUUGAUAGCUUUUCUAAUAAUUAUGGUUAUGUGAUUCUGCACCCAGACUCUCAAAUGGUAGUAUCUUAAGGGUUACUUACAAUGUGGAACCUGAAACUAAUCAGUAAACUUUAAUUUGUUUCACUAAAAUAUCCAUUGGUCCAUGGAUUUCCCUUGUGGUGCAGCAGGUGAAGGAUCUGGCGCUGUUACUGCCAUGGCUUAAGUUCAAUCUCUGACCCAGGAACUUCCACAUGCUGCAGGUAUAGCGCCUCCCCCCACCCCCCAAAUCCAUCAGUCUGCCUUGGAUUUUGAAGGACUCUUACCCAUGCAUGAUUUUGGUUCAUUGAGCUAGGUGAACCUUCCAAAUAUUGACAUGAUAAGAGAAAAAUCACAUUGGUUAAUAUCACUGCUGAUUUUAUUAGAAAAGGGUUUCAGUAUUGGGAAUUUGUCAAGUUCUUGGUAAUAGAUAGACAUUUUCCAAAAACUUAAUUUCCAUUCGAAAGCUUAAAUUUUAUCAUUAUCAAUAAAUACUAACAGUUUUCCUUGAAUUGACAGGCUCACUUCAUUUAUUUUAAGAAAAUAUUUGUGAAGUAUGCAGGUUUGAGUAACUGUUGUUAGUGACUUUUUUUCAAGUAGAAACGGGGUUCCAUGAAAGAAAAAAGCUAGUUCAGUUCAUAAGUAACUUUCCUUGGGCGUUCCCAUUGUGGCUCAGUGGUUAACAAAUCUGACUAGGAACCAUGAGGUUGCAGGUUUGAUCCCUGGCCUCGCUCAGUGGGUUAAGGAUCAGCAUUGCUGUGAGCUGUGGUGUAGGUUGCAGACACGGCUCAGAUCCCGUGUUGCUAUGGCUCUGGCGUAGGCUGGCGGCUGCAGUCCAAUUCGACCCCUAGCCUGGGAACCUCCAUUUGCCGUGGGAGUGGCCCAAGAAAUGGCAAAAAG